GUGUCAGCCGCCGCGGUAAUACGGAGGGGGUUAGCGUUGUUCGGAAUUACUGGGCGUAAAGCGCGCGUAGGCGGAUUGGAAAGUUGGGGGUGAAAUCCCGGAGCUCAACUCCGGAACUGCCUUCAAAACUGCAAAGUUAGAGGAUGCGAGAGGUGAGCGGAAUUCCGAGUGUAGAGGUGAAAUUCGUAGAUAUUCGGAAGAACACCAGUGGCGAAGGCGGCUCACUGGCGCAUUUCUGACGCUGAGGCGCGAAAGCGUGGGGAGCAAACAGGAUUAGAUACCCUGGUAGUCCACGCCGUAAACGAUGAGGGCUAGUUGUCGGGCGGCUUGCCGUUCGGUGACGCAGCUAACGCAUUAAGCCCUCCGCCUGGGGAGUACGGUCGCAAGAUUAAAACUCAAAUGAAUUGACGGGG
rnacentral:rRNA from 1 species